rnacentral:lncRNA from 1 species
UCAAGCAGGCAAGCAGCAGGGCGCGUCUAGGUGUCGCUGACGCGUCGCGACAAUGAGCACGCGGUCCAAGACUGCCGCCGGCCCACGGCGCGAAUCGGCCAUCCACCUCCGUCUCUAUCGCCGCCGGCUCCGUUGCCGCCGGUCACCACCCUCACCUCCAAUCCCCACCCAUCUCAUCUCGGUCACCCCGCGCCACUCACCUGCACCGUCUUCGAUGGCUCCUGCU